GACGGAGGGUGCAAGCGUUGUUCGGAAUUACUGGGCGUAAAGCGUGCGCAGGCGGUUGUGCAAGACCGAUGUGAAAUCCCCGGGCUUAACCUGGGAAUGGCAUUGGUGACUGCACGGCUAGAGUGUGUCAGAGGGGGGUAGAAUUCCACGUGUAGCAGUGAAAUGCGUAGAGAUCAGGAGGAACACCCGUGGCGAAGGCGGCCCUCUGGCUCGACCCUGACGCUGAGGCGCGAAAGCGUGGGGAGCGAACGGG
rnacentral:rRNA from 1 species